rnacentral:rRNA from 1 species
GAUGAACGCUAGCUCCAGGCUUAACACAUGCAAGUCGAGGGACCGGCGCACGGGUGAGUAACACGUAUCCAACCUGCCCUUUACUCGGGGAUAGCCUUUCGAAAGAAAGAUUAAUACCCGAUAUAAAGGGUGGGGAUGCGUUCCAUUAGGUGGUUGGUGAGGUAACGGCCCAGCAAGCCUUCGAAGGUGAGGGGUUCGGAGAGUAAGGUCCCCCAGAAUGGAACGGAGACACGGUCCCAUCUGCGAGGGAGUGCAGGAGUGUGUAAUAUUGGGGAAGGGGGGCUAGCCUGAACCAGCCAAGUAUCGUGAAGGAUGAAGGCGUAUGGGUCGUCAUCUUCUUGGAUAGAAGAAUAUGUAUUAUAAGAAUAAGGAUCGGCUAACUCCGUGCCAGCAGCCGCGGUAAUUC